rnacentral:misc_RNA from 1 species
GAUGAAGGAACGUAGCGAAAUGCGAUAAGUAAUGUGAAUUGCAGAAUUCAGUGAAUCAUCGAAUCUUUGAACGCACAUUGCGCCCAUUAGUAUUCUAGUGGGCAUGCCUGUUCGAGCGUCAUUUCAACCCUUAAGCCUAGCUUAGUAUUGGGAAUCGACUUUACUGUCGUUCCUCAAAUUCAACGGCGGAUUUAUAGCAAUCUCUGAACGUAGUAAUUUUUUUUCUCGUUUUUGAAAUACUAUAAACCUCAGCCGCUAAACCCCCAAUUUCUUAUGGUUGACCUCGGAUCAGGUAGGAAUACCCGCUGAACUUAAGCAUAUCAAUAAGCGGAGGA